rnacentral:tRNA from 1 species
GGAGGGUUGGCUGAGUGGUUAAAGGCGGUGGUUUCGAAAACCAUUGGGCUGCAAAGUCCGCACAGGUUCGAAUCCUGUACCCUCCGCCU